rnacentral:rRNA from 1 species
GGGCCCGCACAAGCGGAGGAACAUGUGGUUUAAUUCGAUGAUACGCGAGGAACCUUACCCGGGCUUGAAAGUUAUUGACUAUUCUGGAAACAGGAUAUCCCUUCGGGGCAAGAAACUAGGUGCUGCAUGGUUGUCGUCAGCUCGUGCCGUGAGGUGUCGGGUUAAGUCCCAUAACGAGCGCAACCCCUGCUGAUAGUUGCCAUCAGGUAAAGCUGGGCACUCUAUCGGGACUGCCUCUGUAAGGAGGAGGAGGGUGGGGAUGACGUCAAAUCAGCACGGCCCUUACGUCCGGGGCGACACACGUGUUACAAUGGUAGGUACAGAGGGCAGCCACCCAGUGAUGGGGAGCAAAUCUCGAAAGCCUAUCUCAGUUCGGAUUGGAGGCUGAAACUCGCCUCCAUGAAGUUGGAUUCGCUAGUAAUCGCGCAUCAGCCAUGGCGCGGUGAAUACGUUCCCGGGCCUU